AACGAACGCUGGCGGCAGGCUUAACACAUGCAAGUCGAACGGGUGUAGCAAUACAUCAGUGGCAGACGGGUGAGUAACACGUGGGAACCUUCCUAGGGGUACGGAACAACUCAGGGAAACUUGAGCUAAUACCGUAUACGUCCGUGAGGAGAAAGAUUUAUCGCCCUUAGACGGGCCCGCGUCGGAUUAGGUAGUUGGUGGGGUAACGGCCUACCAAGCCGACGAUCCGUAGCUGAUCUUAGAGGAUGAUCAGCCACACUGGGACUGAGACACGGCCCAGACUCCUACGGGAGGCAGCAGUGGGGAAUCUUGGACAAUGGGCGCAAGCCUGAUCCAGCCAUGCCGCGUGAGUGAAGAAGGCCUUAGGGUUGUAAAGCUCUUUUGGCAGGGACGAUAAUGACGGUACCUGCAGAAUAAGCCCCGGCAAACUUCGUGCCAGCCGCCGCAGUAAAAC
rnacentral:rRNA from 1 species